rnacentral:rRNA from 1 species
UACGAAGGGUGCUAGCGUUGUUCGGAAUCAUUGGGCGUAAAGCGUGCGUAGGCGGUUUGGUAAGUCGACUGUGAAAGCCCAGAGCUUAACUUUGGAAUUGCAUUCGAAACUACUAGGCUAGAGUAUGGCGGGGGAUAGUGGAAUUCUUAGUGUAGGGGUGAAAUCCGUAGAUAUUAAGAGGAACACCAGUGGCGAAAGCGGCUAUCUACACCAUUACUGACGCUAAGGCACGAAAGCGUGGGGAGCAAACAGG